rnacentral:sRNA from 1 species
UUUUUGGAAUUAUUGUUUGUGUUAUUGUUGACGAUUUGCCUAUGGUAUCUGAUGUCCAAAGUUUGAUAAUUGUGUUUGGACAUUUCGUUUUUCUUAGGCAGAAAGUGAUUUCAGGCUUUGCGACACUGUUAGCUUAUCACAUAAGCUACCUGUUACUUUUAAUACCUGGUUACAUCCUAUUUUUCAAUAUCAAUGUUGUUUUCGUUUUGUUUAUAUUCCAUCUUGUUUGGUGGUUACAUUCCAAAUCUUUUUGUAAUAGCAUCCUCUGUGUUUGACUUUAGUUUGAUCUUAUGAAGACUCUUUGACUCAAUCCCAAUCUACUGAUGCUUCUGUGUUUUAUUGUCAAGUUCAUGUAAGCGUGGUUACUUCAGAAAGUGAAGAGCAUUGCUUGGACUUCAAUGGGAUUUACAUUGGUAUUUACUGGAUUGUCAGAGUCCGCCCAAGUGCUUAUUGGACUAUCUGGAGUUACUCCUAUCUGUAUCAUGAAUUCUUAUGUAAUUUUUCUGUGACGUGUAAUGAUUAUUGUUCCACUGAUAUUAAAAGAUGAUGACAGAGUUAUUACCCUUUUGAACCUUGUUGGUAUAUAAGUUAACUUCACUGUCCGGAAUCUAUACUCUUUUGUUUGGACCCGAAAUUUACAUGUGACAAUUAAGUUUGAGCAAAUGAAAUACACAAUGCUUAUGGUUUGAUGUGUUGGUCUUUGA